rnacentral:lncRNA from 1 species
AUGCCAGCAAAUUUGGAAAACUCAGCAGUGGCCACAGGACUGGAAAAGGUCAGUUUUCAUUCCAAUCCAAAGAAAGGCAAUGCCAAAGAAUGCUCAAACUACCGCACAAUUGCACUCAUCUCACACGUUAGUAAAGUAAUGCUCAAAAUUCUCCAAACCAGGCUUCAGCAAUACGUGAACUGUGAACGUCCAGAUGUUCAAGCUGGUUUUAGAAAAGGCAGAGGAACCAGAGAUCAAAUUGCCAACAUCCACUGGAUCAUGGAAAAAGUAAGAGAGUUCCAGAAAAACAUCAAUUUCUGCUUUAUUGACUAUGCCAAAGCCUUUGACUGUGUGGAUCACAAUAAACUGUGGAAAAUUCUGAAAGAGAUGGGAAUACCAGACCACCUGACGUGCCUCCUGAGAAAUCUGUAUGCAGGUCAGGAAGCAACAGUUAGAACUGGACAUGGAACAACAGACUGGUUCCAAAUCAGGAAAGGAGUACGUCAAGGCUGUAUAUUGUCACCCAGCUUAUUUAACUUAUAUGCAGAGUACAUCAUGAGAAAUGCUGGACUGGAAGGAACACAAGCUGGAAUCAAGACUGCGGGGAGAAAUAUCAAUCACCUCAGAUAUGCAGAUGACACCACCCUUAUGGCAGAAAGUGAAGAGGAGCUAAAAAGCCUCUUGAUGAAAGUGAAAGAGGAGAGCGAAAAAGUUGGCUUAAAGCUCAACAUUCAGAAAAUGAAGAUCAUGGCAUCCGGUCCCAUCACUUCAUGGGAAAUAGAUGGGGAAACAGUGGAAACAGUAUCAGACUUUAUAUUUUGGGGCUCCAAAAUCACUGCAGAUGGUGAUUGCAGCCAUGAAAUUAAAAGACACUUACUCCUUGGAAGAAAAGUUAUGACCAACCUAGAUAGCAUAUUCAAAAGCAGAGACAUUACUUUGCCGACUAAGGUCCGUCUAGUCAAGGCUAUGGUUUUUCCAGUAGUCAUGUAUGGAUGUGAGAGUUGGACUGUGAAGAAAGCUGAGCGCUGGAGAAUUGAUGCUUUUGAACUGUGGUGUUUGAGAAGACUCUUGAGAGUCCCUUGGACUGCAAGGAGAUCUAACCAGUCCAUUCUGAAGGAGAUCAACCCUGGUAUUUCUUUAGAAGGACUGAUGAUAAAGCUGAAACUCCAGUACUUUGGCCACCUCAUGUGA